CAGCCUAACAGACCAACUCCAACUAACACAACUCACUUGAUUUAAUUUUUGAAUCAGUGAUUAUUUUACCAGCCAACAGUUAAGUCCAACAACAAAGAGUGUUAUCCAUCCAUCCUCUCUUACCGUCAUAUGAAUUAUUGUUGAAUAUUAGUGAAUGAAAACAUUGUUACCCACGUUGUUCUGAUACAUUUCCAAGAAUUAACAUAUAAACACCGUUUUAAUCGGUUUAUCUCUCGUGUAGUGUGCAGUAGUGAAGCAGGUUUUUUUUACUCUGUGUGUAGUGAUUGAAGAGAGAAUGUUGUUACAUCUUUUGCAUCAUCAUCAACGACAAUAUUCGACUACAUCAUGUGGUCGAAGAAUUACCAUGUGCUACUAUUAUUUCUUGAUUGCAUUCUUAUCACUAUCAACAACACAUGCAAUGGAUAAUUUAAAAGUGGCAUUUGAAUGGAAACAAUUAGAUUUUAAUUAUCCAUCGGUACAAGAUCGUACAGAAGCGAUUGAAAAUGGUGUAUUUAUACCAGAAAAUAAUAUACCGAUGGGUUUAGAAGUUUAUGAAAAUCGAUUGUUUGUAACUGUACCAAGAUGGAAAGAUGGUGUACCUGCAUCCUUGACAUAUAUUCAUUUAAAUGAUACCAGUAAAGAUCCAAAACUAAACCCAUUUCCAAAUUGGUCCGCACAUAAAUUGCCAAAAUCAAUCAACUACAACGAUUCAACAGAUAUUACCGAAGAUCCUCCAGAAAUUGUAUCACCAUUUCGUGUACGCGCCGAUAAAUAUGGACGUUUAUGGGUAUUAGAUACAGGUGUGGCAAAUCUAUUAGGUAACGAUACAGUUGUGUACACUUCAACUCAAUUAUUAAUCUACAAUUUACGUAACGAUAAUUUAUUACGACGAUACGUUUUACCAUCCGAUCAAGUACAUAAAAAUUCAUUUUUCGCUAAUAUUGCUGUGGAAGAUACCGAUUACGAUGAUACCUACGCUUAUUUAGGAGAUUUAUCUUCACCUGGCUUAGUGAUAUACUCGUUUAAAACUGGAACAUCAUGGCGUAUUACCCACCACUAUUUCCAUAUUGAUCCAUUGGCUGGCGAUUUUAAUGUAAAUGGUUUAAAAUUCCAAUGGACUGAUGCAUUAUUUGGUUUAGCACUAAGUGCUCCUGAUACCGAUGGUUUUAGUACAUUAUACUUCCACCCAAUGGCAAGUACAAAUGAAUUUGCUGUUUCAACUCGUAUUUUACGCAAUGAAACUGCUGCCGGUAACAGUUUUCAUGAGUUUAAGCUGUUAGGAAAUCGUGGACCAAAUGGACAAUCAGCUGUAUCGUUUUUGGAUAAAAAUUCAAGUGUACUAUUUUAUUCGUUGGUAAAUUUAAAUGCGGUAGCUUGUUGGCGUACGAGUAACCCUAGUUAUACAAUGGAAUCUCAAGGACGCAUUUUUAUGAGUAACGUGACAAUGGUAUAUGCAAAUGAUAUUAAAGUUGAUAUGUUAGGUAAUUUAUGGGUGUUAUCAAAUCGUUUGCCACAAUUUAUGUACUCAAAACUGAAUCCAGCAGAUGUGAAUUUCCGUGUAUUAACUAAUACGGUCAAGGAUGCUAUCCGUGGAACGGCUUGUGAUAGUAAAUUAAUAGUUCCAAUUAAUAACCGUAAUGCAAUUAUAAAUAACAAUAAUUCGGGUAAUCACUUACUAUCGAUACAUAUUGGCAUAAUUCUUUUAGUAAGUGGAUUGAUUGGUAAAUUAUUCUAGACAUAAUAUUGAAUUUGGCGUCGAUACUAGAAUUUGAAUACCACCUGAAAAAUGCUCGGAACUACAAUGGAAUGAUGAUAUCAUGGUAGCUGUUUUAGUUUAUAUUUUGAUAUUCAAAAUAAUUUUAAGAUAUUCAAUAAACUCAUAUAUUAGCUAGGGAGGCGAUUUUUUAAUCGUUUGUCAGAAGUUGAAAAUAGUUUUCACUAUAAAAAACACGAAUAUUAUAACAAUAAGAGUUUAUCAAUAAUCAUUAGUACAGUAUUCAAACUUUACUUCCUCAACAUUUUACGUUAUAUUUAAAUAUCAAACAUGGCAUUAUAAAAUAUGCAACAAGCAGUGAUUUAGGUAGAAUGGAAAUAACUUGUAAAUAAAGAGUAAAAGCAAAAUUUUGUAAUUUUGUCUGUAAAAAAAUUUAUUUCCAUUUUACUUGAAAACAAACGGAUGGACAAUCGGUCACUCGAUUGUUUAUCUUAUUCAUAUAGUAACUAAUAUGGAAAUCAACAUAUUAUUAUUUCAAGAAUCUGAGUAAUGAUACAAGAUAU